GCGUGGACCCCUCGGAAGCCUGUCAUAUGACGAGGGCGUGCGAUGACGUCACCGUCAUCUCACACUGGUGAAAUCCGAGGUGGGCGAGAGCGAGACGGUGGGGUGAGAUCAAGCGCUACAGUCCGGACGGACGAUUAGCGAAAUAGAAUACUCUUACUGACGCAGAAGUGAGGUUUGGGACUAUAAAACAUUGCUGAUAAUUCCAGAAGGACAAUAACAAGAGAACUGUUCACAAGGGAGAGCGACACAGUAACCCAAGGCAAAUUCAAAGCUGUUUCAGCAGGGCAGCCCCUCAGAGUGGACUCCACUAGCUUCAGCACCUUAACAAAGGUACAGGCGGACCUGAAUAAUCCUCGUUUAUUUGUUGGACUGAGAGGAAGAGAAACUGGGUGCUUCUGUUGCCAGUACUUGCAUCUCCCUGCCUCAGGGAUGUUGUUGUAUCCUGUCUCUGCCUGUACAUAAAAAAACUAGCGGUUAAAUUCAGUGAUACUGUUA
rnacentral:lncRNA from 1 species